rnacentral:rRNA from 1 species
UACGGAGGGUGCAAGCGUUAUCCGGAUUCACUGGGUUUAAAGGCGCGUAGGCGGCCUUCUAAGUCGAACGUGAAAUCCCCGGGCUCAACCCGGGAACUGCGUCCGAUACUGGGAGGCUUGAAUCCGGGAGAGGGAUGUGGAAUUCCAGGUGUAGCGGUGAAAUGCGCAGAUAUCGGGAGGAACACCAGUGGCGAAGGCGGACACUCUGGGCCAGUACUGACGCUGAGGAGCGAAAGCGUGGGGAGCGAACAGG